rnacentral:rRNA from 1 species
UUAAGCGACUAAGUGUACACGGUGGAUGCCCUGGCAGUCAGAGGCGAUGAAGGACGUGCUAAUCUGCGAUAAGCGUCGGUAAGGUGAUAUGAACCGUUAUAACCGGCGAUUUCCGAAUGGGGAAACCCAGUGUGAUUCGUCACACUAUCAUUAACUGAAUCCAUAGGUUAAUGAGGCGAACCGGGGGAACUGAAACAUCUAAGUACCCCGAGGAAAAGAAAUCAACCGAGAUUCCCCCAGUAGCGGCGAGCGAACGGGGAGCAGCCCAGAGCCUGAAUCAGUGUGUGUGUUAGUGGAAGCGUCUGGAAAGGCGCGCGAUACAGGGUGACAGCCCCGUACACAAAAAUGCACAUAUUGUGAGCUCGAUGAGUAGGGCGGGACACGUGGUAUCCUGUCUGAAUAUGGGGGGCCCAUCCUCCAAGGCUAAAUACUCCUGACUGACCGAUAGUGAACCAGUACCGUGAGGGAAAGGCGAAAAGAACCCCGGCGAGGGGAGUGAAAAAGAACCUGAAACCGUGUACGUACAAGCAGUGGGAGCACGCUUAGGCGUGUGACUGCGUACCUUUUGUAUAAUGGGUCAGCGACUUAUAUUCUGUAGCAAGGUUAACCGAAUAGGGGAGCCGAAGGGAAACCGAGUCUUAACUGGGCGUUAAGUUGCAGGGUAUAGACCCGAAACCCGGUGAUCUAGCCAUGGGCAGGUUGAAGGUUGGGUAACACUAACUGGAGGACCGAACCGACUAAUGUUGAAAAAUUAGCGGAUGACUUGUGGCUGGGGGUGAAAGGCCAAUCAAACCGGGAGAUAGCUGGUUCUCCCCGAAAGCUAUUUAGGUAGCGCCUCGUGAAUUCAUCUCCGGGGGUAGAGCACUGUUUCGGCAAGGGGGUCAUCCCGACUUACCAACCCGAUGCAAACUGCGAAUACCGGAGAAUGUUAUCACGGGAGACACACGGCGGGUGCUAACGUCCGUCGUGAAGAGGGAAACAACCCAGACCGCCAGCUAAGGUCCCAAAGUCAUGGUUAAGUGGGAAACGAUGUGGGAAGGCCCAGACAGCCAGGAUGUUGGCUUAGAAGCAGCCAUCAUUUAAAGAAAGCGUAAUAGCUCACUGGUCGAGUCGGCCUGCGCGGAAGAUGUAACGGGGCUAAACCAUGCACCGAAGCUGCGGCAGCGACGCUUAUGCGUUGUUGGGUAGGGGAGCGUUCUGUAAGCCUGCGAAGGUGUGCUGUGAGGCAUGCUGGAGGUAUCAGAAGUGCGAAUGCUGACAUAAGUAACGAUAAAGCGGGUGAAAAGCCCGCUCGCCGGAAGACCAAGGGUUCCUGUCCAACGUUAAUCGGGGCAGGGUGAGUCGACCCCUAAGGCGAGGCCGAAAGGCGUAGUCGAUGGGAAACAGGUUAAUAUUCCUGUACUUGGUGUUACUGCGAAGGGGGGACGGAGAAGGCUAUGUUGGCCGGGCGACGGUUGUCCCGGUUUAAGCGUGUAGGCUGGUUUUCCAGGCAAAUCCGGAAAAUCAAGGCUGAGGCGUGAUGACGAGGCACUACGGUGCUGAAGCAACAAAUGCCCUGCUUCCAGGAAAAGCCUCUAAGCAUCAGGUAACAUCAAAUCGUACCCCAAACCGACACAGGUGGUCAGGUAGAGAAUACCAAGGCGCUUGAGAGAACUCGGGUGAAGGAACUAGGCAAAAUGGUGCCGUAACUUCGGGAGAAGGCACGCUGAUAUGUAGGUGAAGUCCCUUGCGGAUGGAGCUGAAAUCAGUCGAAGAUACCAGCUGGCUGCAACUGUUUAUUAAAAACACAGCACUGUGCAAACACGAAAGUGGACGUAUACGGUGUGACGCCUGCCCGGUGCCGGAAGGUUAAUUGAUGGGGUCAGCGCAAGCGAAGCUCUUGAUCGAAGCCCCGGUAAACGGCGGCCGUAACUAUAACGGUCCUAAGGUAGCGAAAUUCCUUGUCGGGUAAGUUCCGACCUGCACGAAUGGCGUAAUGAUGGCCAGGCUGUCUCCACCCGAGACUCAGUGAAAUUGAACUCGCUGUGAAGAUGCAGUGUACCCGCGGCAAGACGGAAAGACCCCGUGAACCUUUACUAUAGCUUGACACUGAACAUUGAGCCUUGAUGUGUAGGAUAGGUGGGAGGCUUUGAAGUGUGGACGCCAGUCUGCAUGGAGCCGGCCUUGAAAUACCACCCUUUAAUGUUUGAUGUUCUAACGUGGACCCGUGAUCCGGGUUGCGGACAGUGUCUGGUGGGUAGUUUGACUGGGGCGGUCUCCUCCUAAAGAGUAACGGAGGAGCACGAAGGUUGGCUAAUCCUGGUCGGACAUCAGGAGGUUAGUGCAAUGGCAUAAGCCAGCUUGACUGCGAGCGUGACGGCGCGAGCAGGUGCGAAAGCAGGUCAUAGUGAUCCGGUGGUUCUGAAUGGAAGGGCCAUCGCUCAACGGAUAAAAGGUACUCCGGGGAUAACAGGCUGAUACCGCCCAAGAGUUCAUAUCGACGGCGGUGUUUGGCACCUCGAUGUCGGCUCAUCACAUCCUGGGGCUGAAGUAGGUCCCAAGGGUAUGGCUGUUCGCCAUUUAAAGUGGUACGCGAGCUGGGUUUAGAACGUCGUGAGACAGUUCGGUCCCUAUCUGCCGUGGGCGCUGGAGAACUGAGGGGGGCUGCUCCUAGUACGAGAGGACCGGAGUGGACGCAUCACUGGUGUUCGGGUUGUCAUGCCAAUGGCACUGCCCGGUAGCUAAAUGCGGAAGAGAUAAGUGCUGAAAGCAUCUAAGCACGAAACUUGCCCCGAGAUGAGUUCUCCCUGACCCUUUAAGGGUCCUGAAGGAACGUUGAAGACGACGACGUUGAUAGGCCGGGUGUGUAAGCGCAGCGAUGCGUUGAGCUAACCGGUACUAAUGAACCGUGAGGCUUAACCUU